UUCAUCGUCUUCUCCAAAACCCUAGCCGCAGUCACUUCCAUAGGUGCUUUGCAGCCAAUCCAUUUCCCAAGACAUGGCGGAAGUUGAAGCUGAUGUUGCCACCGGCCAGCCAAGGAAGAGAGCGUUUAAGAAGUUCAGCUACAGAGGAUGAGCUCGUUAAGCUUUUCCCUGCUCGUCCUCGCAAAAGGUUCUAGCGGGGUUUGAAGAGGAAGCCUAUAGCUUUGUGAUCAAGAAUAUCGCAAGCCAAAACGUGAGGCCCCACUAGGUGCGAAGUCAGAGGUUGUGAGAACACAUUUGAGGGACAUGAUCAUUGGACCUUAUGAGAUGAUUGGCAGCGUUAAUUGGAAUCUACAAUGGGAAAACAUUCAAUCAAUUUGAGGUCAAGCCUGAAAUGAUUAGUCACUACUUAGCUGAGUUCUCCAUCUCAUACAAGCCUGUCAAGCACGGUAGGCCUGGUAUUGGUGCUACUCACUCUUCAAGGUUCAUUCCAUUGAAGUGAUUGGGGCAGAGCUUGUCUUCAUGUUUUCUAGUAAUUCUAGUACAUUGUUUUACUGCAAUUUUUAUGAGAACAGUUUAUACUGAAUGGUGAUUGGUUUGAGAAUUGAGACUAGUAAUUUGCUGAUACAUUGCUAUAUUUC